UAUAACAUAUCGAUAAUGCAUCAGAUUCCAUAAGAAAUUUGUAGUUAAGCAUGCUCAAGAUAGAGUAGUAAUGGGAUGGGUGACUGCCCGGGAAGUUCUAGUGUUUUAC
rfam:Picea glauca, whole genome shotgun sequence.